GCUACAGGCUUAACACAUGCAAGUCGAGGGGCAGCAUGGUCUUAGCUUGCUAAGGCCGAUGGCGACCGGCGCACGGGUGAGUAACACGUAUCCAACCUGCCGUCUACUCUUGGACAGCCUUCUGAAAGGAAGAUUAAUGCAAGAUGGCAUCAUGAGUCCGCAUGUUCACAUGAUUAAAGGUAUUCCGGUAGACGAUGGGGAUGCGUUCCAUUAGAUAGUAGGCGGGGUAACGGCCCACCUAGUCUUCGAUGGAUAGGGGUUCUGAGAGGAAGGUCCCCCACAUUGGAACUGAGACACGGUCCAAACUCCUACGGGAGGCAGCAGUGAGGAAUAUUGGUCAAUGGGCGAGAGCCUGAACCAGCCAAGUAGCGUGAAGGAUGACUGCCCUAUGGGUUGUAAACUUCUUUUAUAAAGGAAUAAAGUCGGGUAUGGAUACCCGUUUGCAUGUACUUUAUGAAUAAGGAUCGGCUAACUCCGUGCCAGCAGCCGCGGUAAUACGGAGGAUCCGAGCGUUAUCCGGAUUUAUUGGGUUUAAAGGGAGCGUAGAUGGAUAUUUAAGUCAGUUGUGAAAGUUUGCGGCUCAACCGUAAAAUUGCAGUUGAUACUGGAUAUCUUGAGUGCAGUUGAGGCAGGCGGAAUUCGUGGUGUAGCGGUGAAAUGCUUAGAUAUCACGAAGAACUCCGAUUGCGAAGGCAGCCUGCUAAGCUGCAACUGACAUUGAGGCUCGAAAGUGUGGGUAUCAAACAGGAUUAGAUACCCUGGUAGUCCACACGGUAAACGAUGAAUACUCGCUGUUUGCGAUAUACUGCAAGCGGCCAAGCGAAAGCGUUAAGUAUUCCACCUGGGGAGUACGCCGGCAACGGUGAAACUCAAAGGAAUUGACGGGGGCCCGCACAAGCGGAGGAACAUGUGGUUUAAUUCGAUGAUACGCGAGGAACCUUACCCGGGCUUAAAUUGCGGAUGAAUUACGGUGAAAGCCGUAAGCCGCAAGGCAUCUGUGAAGGUGCUGCAUGGUUGUCGUCAGCUCGUGCCGUGAGGUGUCGGCUUAAGUGCCAUAACGAGCGCAACCCUUGUUGUCAGUUACUAACAGGUUCCGCUGAGGACUCUGACAAGACUGCCAUCGUAAGAUGUGAGGAAGGUGGGGAUGACGUCAAAUCAGCACGGCCCUUACGUCCGGGGCUACACACGUGUUACAAUGGGGGGUACAGAGGGCCGCUACCACGCGAGUGGAUGCCAAUCCCCAAAACCUCUCUCAGUUCGGACUGGAGUCUGCAACCCGACUCCACGAAGCUGGAUUCGCUAGUAAUCGCGCAUCAGCCACGGCGCGGUGAAUACGUUCCCGGGCCUUGUACACACCGCCCGUCAAGCCAUGGGAGCCGGGGGUACCUGAAGUGCGUAACCGCGAGGAGCGCCCUAGGGUAAAACUGGUGACUGGGGCUAAGUAG
rnacentral:rRNA from 1 species